CCUACGGGAGGCAGCAGUGAGGAAUAUUGGUCAAUGGACGAGAGUCUGAACCAGCCAAGUAGCGUGAAGGAUGACUGCCCUAUGGGUUGUAAACUUCUUUUAUAUGGGAAUAAAAUGUUCCACGUGUGGGAUUUUGUAUGUACCAUAUGAAUAAGGAUCGGCUAACUCCGUGCCAGCAGCCGCGGUAAUACGGAGGAUCCGAGCGUUAUCCGGAUUUAUUGGGUUUAAAGGGAGCGUAGGUGGAUUGUUAAGUCAGUUGUGAAAGUUUGCGGCUCAACCUUAAAAUUGCAGUUGAAACUGGCAGUCGUGAGUACAGUAGAGGUGGGCGGAAUUCGUGGUGUAGCGGUGAAAUGCUUAGAUAUCACGAAGAACUCCGAUUGCGAAGGCAGCUCACUGGACUGCAACUGACACUGAGGCUCGAAAGUGUGGGUAUCAAACAGGAUUAGAUACCCCAGUAGUC
rnacentral:rRNA from 1 species